UACGUAGGGUGCAAGCGUUGUCCGGAAUUAUUGGGCGUAAAGAGCUCGUAGGCGGUCUGUUGCGUCGGCUGUGAAAACCCGGGGCUCAACUCCGGGCCUGCAGCCGAUACGGGCAGACUAGAGUUCGGCAGGGGAGACUGGAAUUCCUGGUGUAGCGGUGGAAUGCGCAGAUAUCAGGAGGAACACCGGUGGCGAAGGCGGGUCUCUGGGCCGAUACUGACGCUGAGGAGCGAAAGCGUGGGGAGCGAACAGG
rnacentral:rRNA from 1 species